GAUAGCUGGUUCUCCCCGAAAUAGCUUUAGGGCUAGCGUCGGAAAGAACCUUAGUGAAGGUAGAGCACUGAAUGUGUGAUGGCCCCAUCCCGGGGUACUGAAUACAAUCAAACUGCGAAUGUCAUUAAGGAUGUCCGGCAGUCAGACUGUGAGUGAUAAGGUCCAUGGUCAAGAGGGAAACAGCCCAGACCGCCAGUUAAGGUCCCAAAAUACAGGCUAAGUGGAAAAGGAUGUGGGGAUGCCCAGACAACUAGGAGGUUGGCUCAGAAGCAGCCAUCCUUUAAAGAGUGCGUAACAGCUCACUAGUCGAGUGACCCUGCGCCGAAAAUGUACCGGGGCUAAGCCUGAUACCGAAACUGCGGAUUGUAGGAAACUAUAGUGGUAGGGGAGCGUUGUAUACGAGCAGAAGCCGUACCGUGAGGAGCGGUGGAUUGUAUAGAAGUGAGAAUGCCGGUGUGAGUAGCGAGAUGUAGGUGAGAAUCCUACACACCGAAAGCCCAAGGAUUCCAGGGGAAGGUUCGUCCGCCCUGGGUAAGUCGGGACCUAACGCGAGGCCGAAAGGCGUAGUGGAUGGAAAGCAGGCGAAAGAUUCCUGCACCCGUAUAUGGAGCGAAGGAGUGACGGAGACGGAUAGUGUGACCCUCUUAAUGGAUUGAGGGCGAAGCGAAGCGGCUGGUUACCAGGCAAAUCCGGUAACCAUAAGGCUAGAGCGUGACAGGUAAGCGAAAUCUUAGGAAAGUAGCGAAGCACAUGAUGACGGCUUCCAGGAAAAGCUUCUGGCAAUGCAUAUGCGGCCCGUACCAAAACCGACACAGGUGGGCAGGGAGAGAAUCCCGAGGUGAGCGAGAGAACUGUUGCCAAGGAACUCGGCAAAAUGACUCCGUAAGUUAGCGAGAAGGAGUGCUUAAGCAAUUAAGCCGCAGUGAAGAGGCCCAAGCGACUGUUUAACUAAAACACAGCUCUCUGCGAAGUCGCAAGACGAAGUAUAGGGGGUGACACCUGCCCGGUGCUGGAAGGUUAAGAGGAUCUGUUAAGAGCGAUCUGAAGCAGUGAUCCGAAGCCCCAGUGAACGGCGGCCGUAACUAUAACGGUCCUAAGGUAGCGAAAUUCCUUGUCAGGUAAGUUCUGACCCGCACGAAAGGUGUAACGAUUUGGGCGCUGUCUCGGCAGCAGACUCGGUGAAAUCUUAGUACCUGUGAAAAUGCAGGUUACCCGCAACUAGACGGAAAGACCCCAUGGAGCUUUACUGCAGCCUGAUAUUGAAUUCUGGUCAUACAUGUACAGGAUAGGUGGGAGACAAAGAGACGUGCACGCCAGUGUACGAGGAGUCGACGUUGGGAUACCACUCUUGUGUGACCGGGGUUCUAACCUGGUAUCGAGAACAGGUACGGGGAGAGUGUCAGGUGGGCAGUUUGACUGGGGCGGUCGCCUCCCAAAGAGUAACGGAGGCGCCCAAAGGUACGCUCAGAUUGGAUGGAAACCAAUCGUCGAGUGCAAUUGCAGAAGCGUGCUUGACUGUGAGACAGACAAGUCGAACAGGGACGAAAGUCGGGAAUAGUGAUCCGGCGGUGCCGAAUGGAAGGGCCGUCGCUCAACGGAUAAAAGCUACCCUGGGGAUAACAGGCUGAUCUCGCCCAAGAGUUCACAUCGACGGCGAGGUUUGGCACCUCGAUGUCGGCUCAUCGCAUCCUGGAGCUGGAUUCGGUUCCAAGGGUUGGGCUGUCCGCCCAUUAAAGCGGUACGCGAGCUGGGUUCAGAACGUCGUGAGACAGUUCGGUCCCUAUCUGUUGUGGGCGAAGGAGAUCUGCGGAGAGCUGUCCUCAGUACGAGAGGACCGGGAUGGACCUACCGCUGGUGCACCGGUUGUUCCGCCAGGGGCAUAGCCGGGUAGCUAAGUAGGGAAAGGAUAAGCGCUGAAAGCAUCUAAGCACGAAGCCUACUCCAAGAUGAGAUCUCCCAUUCGCAAGAAGUAAGACCCCUUAAAGACGAUAAGGUAGAUAGGCCAGGGAUGGAAGUGCAGUGAUGUACGGAGUUGACUGGUACUAAUCGGUCGAGGACUUAAUC
rnacentral:rRNA from 1 species